UCUCUCUCUAAAAACACCUUUAUUAUUAUUCUAAACAUCUAAGCUUCCAUUUAAUCGCCAGUCAUUGUACACCGGAGGCGAUUGUAAAGUGAGAUUGCCGGAGAAAUUCGAGGUAUUUUCCGAUCACACAACCGCUGCUUCUCGCCCUAUCAAUCGAGGUGGUUUAGACAUUGACAAACAACAUAAUGAACGCGCAAGCAGCAGCACUUUAGAGUGAUCAAGAAGGUAUUUAUUGGAAGUAAAUCUUAUGAUUAGUAGAUGGGUCAUGUCCUCAGCGUUUCAGAACGGUUCCUACACUGGUAGAGACAUGAGCCACCAUGUGGAAGUCACAAAGAUUGUUAUUAUUCGUAUCUCUGGUAAACAACAUACUCGUAACUACAUAUUUUGUAUUUAUUAUUUGUGCUGGUCUGCUCUUUUUAUUGUUUUUAGUGUGGUAGCAACCGUUGUUUUAUUUUGGAACAAAUUCUAAUUGCUAACUAGACAUUUUGUGACAACCAUUUUGUUAUAGCAGGUUGUUUUUAUCGGUAAAAUUGCUGCUUGGGUUUGGUAACGGACUAACGGGUCAGAUUACAAGUCAAAUUACAGGUCAAACAGAUCAGAUUACAGCUUAAAUAAGCAUGCCAUUACAAACUGUAAUUUGUUGAUAAUCGGUCAACCAUCUUGCAUUUUGUAACGGGUUAAUUAUAAUACAACAUGUUACCUUUCGUUCAUAAGAGGUAGCGCGUUGCAUGUCCUUGACAUGUUAGGUUACAUCUGUUCUUCUU